AGGUCAGAAGAUACUACUGGUGCUUCAGUUGUAUGAGAAGAAUAAUCCAAGUCUUAUAAACUCCAGGUGAUACAAGAGUCACUAUAUAAAGAUGAAACAGUCAAGAGCCUUGAUGACUUCUAUGAUCCUUGUUUUCUACUUCAGCUCUUCAGUGAAUUGACCAGACCAGGUUCAGCUUGACUUGUGCUCAAAGACAGGAAUGACUCCAUAGCCAUAUGUGGUGAAUUGGAGGGGGAUUUGCAAGUUCAGGGCUAAAAUAUGGUGUGUAAGAAAAGGCUUUUUUUGUAGCAUUAGAUAAAUGCUUUUGCAUGAGGUGUUGAAGGUCAGUUGUUUUACCAGUUCAAAGGGAGAAAACCAAACCAGGCUGACGGUGACACUCCUUUCAGCAAGGCUUAGUAUAUAUUUGAGCAAUUAUUUCAGCAGGGUUUUUUCUGUUAAUGCUGCUUUUGGUUGUGUUUGGUUUGCCAUGCAUUUGACUCAUUGUCAGUGUUUCUCAUACAGUAGGAGUGUUCCUCCUACUGAGUGUUUUCCACUCAAAGCAAGCAAUUGUGGU